rnacentral:rRNA from 1 species
AUUGAACGCUGGCGGCAGGCCUAACACAUGCAAGUCGGACGGUAGCACAGAGGAGCUUGCUCCUCGGGUGACGAGUGGCGGACGGGUGAGUAAUGUCUGGGGAUCUGCCCGAUAGAGGGGGAUAACCACUGGAAACGGUGGCUAAUACCGCAUAACGUCGCAAGACCAAAGAGGGGGACCUCCGGGCCUCUCACUAUCGGAUGAACCCAGAUGGGAUUAGCUAGUAGGCGGGGUAACGGCCCACCUAGGCGACGAUCCCUAGCUGGUCUGAGAGGAUGACCAGCCACACUGGAACUGAGACACGGUCCAGACUCCUACGGGAGGCAGCAGUGGGGAAUAUUGCACAAUGGGCGCAAGCCUGAUGCAGCCAUGCCGCGUGUAUGAAGAAGGCCUUCGGGUUGUAAAGUACUCUCAGCGGGGAGGAAGGCGAUGUGGUUAAUAACCGCAUUGAUUGACGUUACCCGCAGAAGAAGCACCGGCUAACUCCGUGCCAGCCGCCGCAGUAA